AAACUCUCAAGCCCAGCUUGGUAUUGGAACCUGUCCUCUGACAGUUCCGCAACUCCUUUGGCAGUAACGUCCAGCUUCAAGCGUAGCAAGUCAUUCGCUUAGUUGCCUUGACGUUCCUUCCACAAGAACCCUUCUCAA
rnacentral:misc_RNA from 1 species